AACCACUCACGCCUAGCGUGGUAUUGGGGCACGCGGUCUCCGCGGCCCUCAAAAUUAGUGGCGGCGCCGGUGGGCUCUAAGCGUAGUACAUACUCCCGCUAUAGAGUUCCCCCCGGUGGUUGCCUGCCAGAACCCCCCAUUUUUUAC
rnacentral:misc_RNA from 1 species